CUUCCGUAGGUGAACCUGCGGAAGGAUCAUUACCGAGUGAGGGCCCUCUGGGUCCAACCUCCCACCCGUGUUUAUUUUACCUUGUUGCUUCGGCGGGCCCGCCUUAACUGGCCGCCGGGGGGCUUACGCCCCCGGGCCCGCGCCCGCCGAAGACACCCUCGAACUCUGUCUGAAGAUUGUAGUCUGAGUGAAAAUAUAAAUUAUUUAAAACUUUCAACAACGGAUCUCUUGGUUCCGGCAUCGAUGAAGAACGCAGCGAAAUGCGAUACGUAAUGUGAAUUGCAAAUUCAGUGAAUCAUCGAGUCUUUGAACGCACAUUGCGCCCCCUGGUAUUCCGGGGGGCAUGCCUGUCCGAGCGUCAUUUCUGCCCUCAAGCACGGCUUGUGUGUUGGGCCCCGUCCUCCGAUCCCGGGGGACGGGCCCGAAAGGCAGCGGCGGCACCGCGUCCGGUCCUCGAGCGUAUGGGGCUUUGUCACCCGCUCUGUAGGCCCGGCCGGCGCUUGCCGAUCAACCCUAAAUUUUUAUCCCAGGUGACCUCGGAUCAUGUAUGGAUACCCGCUGAACUUAAGCAUAUCAAUAAGCGGAGGAACG
rnacentral:rRNA from 1 species